rnacentral:rRNA from 1 species
AUUGAACGCUGGCCGCAGGCCUAACACAUGCAAGUCGAGCGGAUGAAGGGAGCUUGCUCCUGGAUUCAGCGGCGGACGGGUGAGUAAUGCCUAGGAAUCUGCCUGGUAGUGGGGGAUAACGUCCGGAAACGGGCGCUAAUACCGCAUACGUCCUGAGGGAGAAAGUGGGGGAUCUUCGGACCUCACGCUAUCAGAUGAGCCUAGGUCGGAUUAGCUAGUUGGUGGGGUAAAGGCCUACCAAGGCGACGAUCCGUAACUGGUCUGAGAGGAUGAUCAGUCACACUGGAACUGAGACACGGUCCAGACUCCUACGGGAGGCAGCAGUGGGGAAUAUUGGACAAUGGGCGAAGGCCUGAUCCAGCCAUGCCGCGUGUGUGAAGAAGGUCUUCGGAUUGUAAAGCACUUUAAGUUGGGAGGAAGGGCAGUAAGUUAAUACCUUGCUGUUUUGACGUUACCAACAGAAUAAGCACCGACUAACUUCGUG